GGAGUCACAGACGGUUUGAGACAUGGAAACAACACAGUUUCAUGUUUGUUUUAAAGGAUCGUUUGGCUGCUAGAGUGUACACUGGAUAAAGACAAGAUGGAAAGCAGGCUAUCUUUGCACUGUUGGGACACGGACGGUGGGACCUGCACAGCCAACACACAUCUACUCCCUGGCCCUGGAGAGAGAACUCUGUCGGCUCCUGAUCUCUUGCUCAGGUUCCACCUUGAUGUCCCCUACAGUCCUGCAAAGACAGAAGGUGCUCCACAAAUCCCUGGAUGAAUGGGCGAGGAAGGCUUGAGAGGGGACGGAUCUCUGGCACACUGAAUACACGGCUGCUC
rnacentral:lncRNA from 1 species